rnacentral:rRNA from 1 species
GACGAACGCUGGCGGCGUGCCUAACACAUGCAAGUCGAGCGAGUGAAUCUCCUUCGGGAGUGAAGCUAGCGGCGGACGGGUGAGUAACACGUGGGCAACCUGCCUCAUAGAGGGGAAUAGCCUUCCGAAAGGGAGAUUAAUACCGCAUAAGAUUGUAGCUUCGCAUGAAGUAGCAAUUAAAGGAGCAAUCCGCUAUGAGAUGGGCCCGCGGCGCAUUAGCUAGUUGGGGAGGUAAUGGCUCACCAAGGCGACGAUGCGUAGCCGACCUGAGAGGGUGAUCGGCCACAUUGGGACUGAGACACGGCCCAGACUCCUACGGGAGGCAGCAGUGGGGAAUAUUGCACAAUGGGGGAAACCCUGAUGCAGCAACGCCGCGUGAGUGAUGACGGCCUUCGGGUUGUAAAGCUCUGUCUUCAGGGACGAUAAUGACGGUACCUGAGGAGGAAGCCACGGCUAACUACGUGCCAGCCGCCGCAGUAAUAC